rnacentral:rRNA from 1 species
UAACCUGCCUUUAGGACGAGGAUAUCAAUUGGAAACAGUUGCUAAGACUGGAUAGGAAAUAAAAAGGCAUCUUUUUAUUUUUAAAAGACCUUUUUCGGAAGGUAUGCUUUAAAGAGGGGCUUGCGGCACAUUAGUUAGUUGGUAGGGUAAAGGCCUACCAAGACUAUGAUGUGUAGCUGGACUGAGAGGUUGAACAGCCACAUUGGGACUGAGACACGGCCCAAACUCCUACGGGAGGCAGCAGUAGGGAAUUUUCGGCAAUGGAGGAAACUCUGACCGAGCAACGCCGCGUGAACGAUGAAGUAUUUCGGUAUGUAAAGUUCUUUUAUUGAAGAAGAAAAAAUAGUGGAAAAACUAUCUUGACGCUAUUCAAUGAAUAAGCCCCGGCAAACUAUGUGCCAGCAGCCGCGGUAAUACAUAGGGGGCGAGCGUUAUCCGGAAUUAUUGGGCGUAAAGGGUGCGUAGGCGGUUUAAUAAGUCUAUAGUUUAAUUUCAGUGCUUAACACUGUCCUGCUAUAGAAACUAUUAAACUAGAGUGAGAUAGAGGCAAGUGGAAUUCCAUGUGUAGCGGUAAAAUGCGUAAAUAUAGGAGGAACACCAGAGGCGUAGGCGGCUUGCUGGGUCUUUACUGACGCUGAGGCACGAAAGCGUGGGGAGCAAACAGGAUUAGAUACCCUGGUAGUCCACGCCGUAAACGAUGAGUACUAAGUGUCGGGGUUACUCGGUACUGAAGUUAACACAUUAAGUACUCCGCCUGAGUAGUACGUACGCAAGUAUGAAACUUAAAGGAAUUGACGGGACUCCGCACAAGCGGUGGAUCAUGUUGUUUAAUUCGAAGAUACACGAAAAACCUUACCAGGUCUUGACAUACUCUGCAAAGCUAUAGCAAUAUAGUGGAGGUUAUCAGGGAUACAGGUGGUGCAUGGUUGUCGUCAGCUCGUGUCGUGAGAUGUUAGGUUAAGUCCUAAAACGAGCGCAACCCUUGUCACUAGUUGCCAGCAUGUUAUGAUGGGCACUUUAGUGAGACUGCCAAUGAAAAAUUGGAGGAAGGUGAGGAUCACGUCAAAUCAUCAUGCCCCUUAUGAUCUGGGCUACAAACGUGAUACAAUGGCUGUUACAAAGAGUAGCUGAAACGCAAGUUCAUAGCCAAUCUCAUAAAAGCAGUCUCAGUUCGGAUUGAAGUCUGCAACUCGACUUCAUGAAGUUGGAAUCGCUAGUAAUCGCGAAUCAGCAUGUCGCGGUGAAUACGUUCUCGGGGUUUGUACACACCGCCCGUCAAACCACGAAAGUUGGUAAUACUCGAAAACGGUAGCCUAACUUCUUCGGAAGAGGGAACCGUCUAAGGUAGGAUCGAUGAUUGGGGUUAAGUCGUAACAAGGUAUCCCUACCGGAAGGUGGGGAUGGAUCA